UACGUAGGGUCCAAGCGUUAUCCGGAAUCACUGGGCGUAAAGCGUGCGUAGGUGGAUGUUUAAGUGAGAUGUUAAAUCGUGUGGCUCAACCAUAUCGGUGCAUCUCAUACUGGGCAUCUAGAGGACGGCAGAGGCAAGUGGAAUUGGUAGUGUAGCAGUGAAAUGCGUAGAUAUUACCAGGAACACCAAUGGCGAAGGCGGCUUCUGGGCCACUCCUGACACUGAGG
rnacentral:rRNA from 1 species